ensembl:misc_RNA Metazoa_SRP Metazoan signal recognition particle RNA
GCCAGGUAUGGUGGCGCAUGCCUGUAAUCCCAGCUACUCAGGAGGCCGAGGCUGGAGGAUCACUUGAGACCAGGAGCAUGAGGUUGUAGUGAGCUAUGAUCGUGUCACUGCACUCCAGCCUGGGUGACAGAAUGAGACCCUGUCUCUA